rnacentral:rRNA from 1 species
UACGUAGGGGGCAAGCGUUGUCCGGAAUCAUUGGGCGUAAAGAGCGCGUAGGCGGCCCUGUAAGUCCGCUGUGAAAGUCAAGGGCUCAACCCUUGGAUGCCGGUGGAUACUGCAGGGCUAGAGUCCGGAAGAGGCGAGUGGAAUUCCUGGUGUAGCGGUGAAAUGCGCAGAUAUCAGGAGGAACACCGAUGGCGAAGGCAGCUCGCUGGGACGGUACUGACGCUGAGGCGCGAAAGCGUGGGGAGCAAACGGG